AACGAACGCUGGCGGCAGGCCUAACACAUGCAAGUCGAGCGCCCAGCAAUGGGAGCGGCGGACGGGUGAGUAACGCGUGGGAAUUUUUCCUGGAGUACGGAACAACCGAGGGAAACUUCGGCUAAUACAGUAUGAUAUCGAGAGAUCAAAGAUUUAUCGCUCUGGGGUGAGCCCGCGUCAGAUUAGGUAGUUGGUGGGGUAACGGCCUACCAAGCCUGCGAUCUGUAGCUGGUCUGAGAGGACGAUCAGCCACACUGGGACUGAGACACGGCCCAGACUCCUACGGGAGGCAGCAGUGGGGAAUUUUGCGCAAUGGGCGAAGGCCUGACGCAGCCAUGCCGCGUGAGUGAAGAAGGUCUUAGGAUUGUAAAGCUCUUUCGCUCGUGACGAUGAUGACGGUAACGAGAGAAGAAGCCCCGGCUAACUUCGUGCCAGCCGCCGCGGUAAGAC
rnacentral:rRNA from 1 species